CUACGAUCUUGAAACGAGCAG
rnacentral:miRNA from 1 species